AUGUUACAGUAAUGUUACAGUAAUAGUAACAGUAAUAAUCGGUUAACAUGGGUCACACCAGCACCGCUUAACGGGUUUUUGAGUUUCGAUCCUCACUCGCUCCUUUCUCUCUCUCUCGCGCGCGCGCUCUCUUUUUUCUUUCCAUCUCACUUUCUCUGCGCAUUUUCCUUUCGGAAUCGGAGCUGAAUCUGAAUCUGAAUCUCGUCGAACUCGAAUUGUGUUGACGGAUCCACGCGCGGCUGUAGAAGGGGGAGACGGCGGCGGAUCUGACCGGAGAUGGCGUUCUCCGGCAUAAGAGGUCUCUCCGUCUUCAUCGGCGACAUCCGCAAUUGCCAGAACAGUGAACAGGAGACGCUCCGCGUCGACAAGGAACUCGGAACAUCCGAACGCGCUUCAAAACCGAGAAGGUUAGGGUUUCUCUCUCGCAUUCGCGAAUCGUGCGUUUGAUCUUUCCCGCAAUGUGCGACGCUGGAAUGGAAUUUGAGUUUCCGAGUUUGUGCGGUCCAUGUGCGUCGUCGUUCGCGCUCGAAAUUGUUGUUGGAGCUUGUUUUUCAAUGUUCGAAACAUGUAUGUGUGCGAGACUUGAAUAGGAAAGUCACUGUUCGGUGAACAAUCACGUGGCUUGACACCAUAUGAGAAAAAGAACAUGCGUGGAAAAUGCUUUACGUAUUUAUGCUUGGCUCUGAUGUGGAUUUUGGUCACAUGGAAGCUGUUUCUCUAAUAUCUGCUCCUAAGCAUCCAGAAAAGCAGGUUGGGUACAUAGGCACUUCAUCUUUGAUCAAUGAAAAUCACGACUUUCUGAGAUUGGCAAUAAAUACAGGGUGCAUAGUUAUCAUUGGUCGCAAUGAAAUGUUCCAGUGCCUGGCAUUGACCAUGUUCACAAUUGUACAUCCUAGGGGAAUGUGAUUCACAUCGAGGGGUCUGUAAGGGGCUGCAACUGGAUCCCUAUAUGCCAUAGUACCUGCUGAGAGCAGGCCAUUUAUGUGCAGGUUUUUUCAUUGAUUUAGGAUCCAUUUGAUUUAAAUUUUGGUAGAAUUGAAUUUGAAAAAAUUGAUUUGUAUUUAUGUAUGAUGUUUAAAACUGAAUUGAGAAAAAUUGAUUUUUGAUUGGUAAAGUAGAUAUGCUUUUGGAAUAUAAAUAAGAUAAUCCAAAAUCACACCCAGAAUUCUACCCACUGCAGAAUUGAUUUUCUCUACCACAAAAAUUAGCCAAACAAGCAUGGGGUACUGUACAAACUACAAAAGCAAUUUCCGCAUCACCAAUGGCUGUUUGGUGGCUAUUAACUAAACUAGCACUUAAGUAGCAAAAUAACAACUAGGAAGUUUCUGGCUUUACCCAUUGUAUCCCUAUCAGCCAUGGAAGGUUCCAUUCCAUUCAAUUUUGUAGAUUAGUAGUCACUAGGGCCAUAUAUUUAUGUAUCACUUUCAUUUUCUUCCGCACAAAUAAUUAAGAUUCAGGAUGGACCACAUUGUUAAUUUUUAUGCCAAAACUUCUGUACUUGAUUUAGUGUCUUCCCUUAUAGACUCCAUUUCUCCAUUCAACACAAAUUUUAUGUAUUGAAAAAUAACAAAUUUCACGUUUUGGAUGUCUGGCCAUUAGAGAUAUUGCUGAAAGGUUUCGUUCUUUGUGCUGAAGGAUAGUGGUGUUCUAUAUGAGGAUCCUCACGUUCAGGUUUUUUCUUCAUUUUUCUCCAAUAUUAUUGAAGCUUGGGUAGUUUUUAUUAUGAUUUAUACUGUAUAUGUGUAUAGUUUACAUAGAGAGUUCUCUACUAUUGACCUUUUAAGUUAGGUUCGAGCUUAUAGUUGAUUUCUGGUGUUAGCUUUUUGUAUAUUUAUGCAUUUACAACAGAUUGGAGUUUAAAGCAGAGUGUAGAGCUUAUCAUGGGUGUCUGGUUCUUUUCUUGGGGAACAAGAAUACUUCUCCCUUUGUCCCUUGUUCACACUUUAAUAUUGCCUACUACUCAUUUGAAGAUGGAGCUCUCACUAGUACAACAAGGUCAGAAACCAUUGGUACUGUGAACUAUUGCUUUCUAUUUUAAUUUUUUUUUCCCUCUUUUGGUUCCAUAGGUGCAAUGCCCACUUGAAAUCAUUAAUCUCCAUCCAAGCAGGGAUGUGGCUGUUCUUGACUUCUCCGACAUGGUUGAUAACAAUAUGGCAACAAUUGUGAACCUGUGGAUUCACCAUUUGACCGCAUGAACAUCUGUGUCCUUUCAUACAUCAAUACCAAACUUCCAGCUGGUCCUAAACAAGUUUCAACUACACAUGUAUCUGCUGAAGAGUUUUUCCCUCAAUGAAGAUCACUUUCUGGACCACCUUUGAAGCUCCAAGUGGUUGAAAGAGUUCAUCAAGGAGCUAGUAGUCGACAUCCACACACAGCUACGCAAAAGCCUCAAAAACUACAAAUGUUAGUUAACAAUUGCGAAUUUAUGGGUGUGGAAGGAAUGACGGAAUGGAUGGUGAGUAGAGUUUGAAAUUUAUGGGCCGAUCGAUUUUCUGCGCAAAGUGGUGCCCCUUAACUCCAAUUUAAUAUCAUUUGGCGAGGGUUCAAUUUUCUUAUAAUUUUACCCUUACCUCUUACUGGAUCAUUCGUUGUUGCUCUUGAAAAAGUCUCGUAUAGAGAAAAUUGUAAACAAUAAUAAAUGGGGGAGUGUUGUACAUA